UAGGGAAUCUUCGGCAAUGGGGGCAACCCUGACCGAGCAACGCCGCGUGAGUGAAGAAGGUUUUCGGAUCGUAAAGCUCUGUUGUAAGAGAAGAACGUGUGUGAGAGUGGAAAGUUCACACAGUGACGGUAACUUACCAGAAAGGGACGGCUAACUACGUGCCAGCAGCCGCGGUAAUACGUAGGUCCCGAGCGUUGUCCGGAUUUAUUGGGGGUAAAGCGAGCGCAGGCGGUUUAAUAAGUCUGAAGUUAAAGGCAGUGGUUUAACCAUUGUUCGCUUUGGAAACUGUUAAACUUGCGUGCAGAAGGAGAGGGUGGAAUUCCAUGUGUAGCGGUGAAAUGCGUAGGUAUAUGGGGGAACACCGGUGGCGGAAGCGGCUCUCUGGUCGGUAACUGACGCUGAGGCUCGAAAGCGUGGGGAGCAAACAGG
rnacentral:rRNA from 1 species